CCCACUUUCAGCCUGGCCCAUUAGGGGGCGCUGGUAUAAAUAGUGGCCAUUUGAGUGUCUCUGCAUCGCUUGCCUGUGAUCUCCUUUUUGGUCACCUGACUUCCUCGGUGUGGUAGAGAUCGUUUGUGGGUUACGCCUCUAAAGUCUCCAUCGCGGCUGGUCGUAGCUAUAGAAGCCUCCUCUGAGCUAUUCGGCUUACAUUCUAUGACACGGCUUACUUGGUGCGGAGUGCCGACGUGGAGGAGACUAGGGUGCCUUGGUGGUGGGAUCCCUUGAGUGUACACACCUGCCUUGUUUAGUUUAUUA